GGCAUCACUUUAUAAUUAAAGUCACAACGGUGAAAGAUGAGCAUGCGUCCCAUUAGCUAGAUGGUAAGGUAACGGCUUACCAUGGCUACGAUGGGUAGGGGUCCUGAGAGGGAGAUCCCCCACACUGGUACUGAGACACGGACCAGACUCCUACGGGAGGCAGCAGUGAGGAAUAUUGGUCAAUGGGCGCAAGCCUGAACCAGCCAUGCCGCGUGCAGGAUGACGGUCCUAUGGAUUGUAAACUGCUUUUGUACGAGAAGAAACAACAUUACGUGUAAUGUCUUGACGGUAUCGUAAGAAUAAGGAUCGGCUAACUCCGUGCCAGCAGCCGCGGUAAUACGGAGGAUCCGAGCGUUAUCCGGAAUCAUUGGGUUUAAAGGGUCCGUAGGCGGUUUAGUAAGUCAGUGGUGAAAGCCCAUCGCUCACGGUGGAACGGUCAUUGAUACUGCUAGACUUGAAUUAUUGGGGAAGUAACUAGAAUA
rnacentral:rRNA from 1 species